UUUAUUUCAAUUCGGACAGAUUCUAGAACUUUUUUUUUUUUUUUUUUUUUGAGACACAGAGAGACAGAGCAUGAGCAGGGGAGGGGCAGAGAGAGAGGGAGACACAGAACCGGAAGCAGCCUCCAGGCCCCGAGCCAUCAGCCCAGAGCCCGACGCGGGGCCCAAACUUAUGGGCCGCAAGAUCGUGACCUGAGCCGAAGUCGGACUCUUAACCGACUGAGCCACCCAGGCGCCCCAGAUUCUAGAACUUUGUGUUGGCGAAGACUUCAUUUCAGCGUCAAAAGUGGAGCAGCUCUCGGUUUCCCGAAGGCUUUUCUGGAAUUGAAGAGACGGCCGGGACCUUGCACCAUGUGUGGCAACGAUCCGUCCCUUUUCCGUGAGCUCCGUCGUGAGUAUAUCUGUGUCCUUCAUCCGUGUGUCCAACAAGUCUCCUUGGGGGAAGAUGCCACCCACAUCACGUCAUUUCCGUGUCCUGGGCAAAGGUGGGUGCAGUUAGGGUCCUGCCGGCAAAGACGGUGUGUAACGCCAAGGCUGCUGAGUUCCCUCGUGAAGCCUGGUAAAGGUGUAUUGUGUCCUUUCAGGGGGAAAGGCCGCCGUGCUCACAGGCUGUUGAAAUAGACACUGAACAGGUGCAUGGGCGGCUCAGCCGGUUAAGCGUCCGACUCUUGGUUUCGGCUCAGGCCAUGAUCUCGCCUCACGGUUCGUGGGUUCGAGCCCCGCCUCGGGGUUUGCGCUGGCAGCACGGGAGCCUGCUUGGGAUUCUCUCUCCGUCCCUGUCUCUCUGCCCCUCCCCCACUUGCACUGUCUCUGUCUCUCUCGAAACAGAUAAACGUAAAAGAAGGAAACAGACACCGAACAGAGCAUAUUUGCCAAAUCUCAAUCUCUAACAGCAAAACGGUUGCCAGUGGCUGAUUGACUAGAAUCGGUAAUUAUAAUAAUAUUGGGCGUAGGGGCCUGAAGUUGGUGGUGGGCUCACCGCGAGGCACCAUUCAUUCUUUCCGGGUUUAAGACCAGGCCAAAACGGGAUAUUAAAGGAGCAGUAGUUGGCAUCAUCACCCUUGCGCUCACUAGGU
rnacentral:lncRNA from 1 species